rnacentral:misc_RNA from 1 species
AAAUCUCUCAUCAAAUUAAUUUUUGGUGGAUAUUGAGUGCUGCUGUUAUCUAGCUCACUUUAAAUAUAUAAGUCAUUUUAUGAAUGCUGGAUUGACUUGGUGUAAUAUUUCUGAUCAUCAAGGAAAGUAGCAAUACUUGCCAAUAUUUAUUUUCAAGGACUACUAAACCUACAAUUUAUUUUUAAG